UACGAAGGGGGCUAGCGUUGCUCGGAAUCACUGGGCGUAAAGCGCGUGUAGGCGGUUCCGUAAGUCCGCUCUGAAAGCCCAGGGCUCAACCCUGGGAGGCGGGUGGAUACUACGGAACUGGAGUACGGAAGAGGAGAUUGGAAUUCCUGGUGUAGCGGUGAAAUGCGCAGAUAUCAGGAGGAACACCAGCGGCGAAGGCGGCGCUCUGGGCCGGUACUGACACUGAGGUGCGAAAGCGUGGGGAGCAAACAGG
rnacentral:rRNA from 1 species